rnacentral:rRNA from 1 species
AGCGAACGCUGGCGGCAGGCUUAACACAUGCAAGUCGAGCGGGCAUCUUCGGACGUCAGCGGCAGACGGGUGAGUAACACGUGGGAACGUACCCUUCGGUUCGGAACAACUCUGGGAAACUGGAGCUAAUACCGGCUACGCCCUUAUGGGGAAAGGGUUACUGCCGAAGGAUCCGCCCGCGUCUGAUUAGCUAGUUGGUGGGGUAACGGCCUACCAAGGCGACGAUCAGUAGCUGGUCUGAGAGGAUGAUCAGCCACACUGGGACGGAGACACGGCCCAGACUCCUACGGGAGGCAGCAGUGGGGAAUAUUGGACAAUGGGCGCAAGCCUGAUCCAGCCAUGCCGCGUGAGUGAUGAAGGCCUUAGGGUUGUAAAGCUCUUUUGUCCGGGACGAUAAUGACGGUACCGGAAGAAUAAGCCCCGGCUAACUUCGUG